GACGAACGCUGGCGGCGUGCUUAACACAUGCGAGUCGAACGGAAAGGCCUGCUUUCCCUUGUGGAUUGCGGGUACUCGAGUGGCGAACGGGUGAGUAACACGUGAGUGAUCUGCCCCCAACUUGGGUAUAAGCCUGGGAAACUGGGUCUAAUUCCCGAUAGGACUGCAGGGUGGUGCCUGUGGUGGAAAACGAUUUUCUAGUGGUUGGGGAUGAGCUCGCGGCCUAUCAGCUUGUUGGUGGGGUAAUGGCCUACCAAGGCGGCGACGGGUAGCCGGCCUGGGAGGGGGGACGGCCACAUUGGGACUGGGAUACGGCCCAGACUCGUACGGGAGGCAGCAGUGGGGAAUAUUGCACAAUGGGCGGAAGCCUGAUGCAGCGACGCCGCGUGGGGGAUGACGGCCUUCGGGUUGUAAACUCCUUGCGACCGCGAGGAAGCCACCUGGUUGGAAGGGUGGUGACGGUAGUGGUAGAAGAAGCACCGGCUAACUACGUG
rnacentral:rRNA from 1 species